UGAAACUGACCAUUUAAUUGUAGAUGAUGACUUAAUGGUGGCACCAAUAUACUUUUGUGUGUGUGUGUGUGUGUGUGUGUGUGUGUUUAUAUUACCCCAGAGAAGUAGCCCCAUUUUAGAUGACAGAUCCAAAAAAGGUAGAGUUGGAUUUGCUGCACAGAAAAGAUGAUAGGAGAUUGGGGGAGACCGUUUAAAGUGAAGCUAUUCAGAUUUGUGGUUAAGGGUAGGCUAUGAAAUUUUUCUUGGAAAGAGGAGAAAAUUAGAGAAAUAUUGGUGGAUCAAUAGGAUUGAAACAUUGGCAUAUUGAGGGCAUAAGCCAGAAGGACAAAGUGUGUAAUGUCAGACUUUAUUUUUUUCAGAGGUCACAGAUAGUCCUAGUUUUAAGUUCUACGGAGUGGCAAUCACUGACCUGGAAUGAGGGUAACUGGCUCUAAGAUGAGAAAGGGUGCAUGAGAGGUCAGGUUAUUGGAUGGCCUAUUCAGCUGGAUGUUGGGUCCUCCAAGUGAUUCCUCCCACUUAAAGCCCCUUGUUCUGAAAAUCAAUCCACCUCUUUCUUCUCCAAAAGACUCCCCAGAAUCAACAUUCUUCCUGCAACUCUAUGCUUACUAAAUGACAUCACUUUGGAGAAUAAAGCAGAAAUGGAAUGGUAAGAAAGAAUGCUGUGGUAGACAUCUGUUUCGGUUUUGUUUUUGUCACCUAGCAUUCACUCACCUUAUUGCCCUCUGGGGAACUAACUCCGUUCUCAGUUUCAGACCAUGAGCAAGUGAAGUUGUCUUUCCUCUCUACUCUUAUUUUAAGGAUGAUAUAUAACUCAGAA
rnacentral:lncRNA from 1 species